rnacentral:rRNA from 1 species
UCCCAAACCCCUGUGAACAUACCUUUAUGUUGCCUCGGCGGAUCAGCCCGCGCCCCGUAAAACGGGACGGCCCGCCGCAGGAAACCCUAAACUCUGUUUUUAGUGGAACUUCUGAGUAUAAAAAACAAAUAAAUCAAAACUUUCAACAACGGAUCUCUUGGUUCUGGCAUCGAUGAAGAACGCAGCAAAAUGCGAUAAGUAAUGUGAAUUGCAGAAUUCAGUGAAUCAUCGAAUCUUUGAACGCACAUUGCGCCCGCCAGUAUUCUGGCGGGCAUGCCUGUUCGAGCGUCAUUUCAACCCUCAAGCCCAGCUUGGUGUUGGGAUCUGUGUGCAAACACAGUCCCCAAAUUGAUUGGCGGUCACGUCGAGCUUCCAUAGCGUAGUAAUUUACACAUCGUUACUGGUAAUCGUCGCGGCCACGCCGUUAAACCCCAACUUCUGAAUGUUGACCUCGGAUCAGGUAGGAAUACCCGCUGAACUUAAGCAUAUCAAUAAGCGGAGGAAAAGAAACCAACAGGGAUUGCCCUAGUAACGGCGAGUGAAGCGGCAACAGCUCAAAUUUGAAAUCUGGCUCUCGGGCCCGAGUUGUAAUUUGUAGAGGAUGACUUUGAUGCGGUGCCUUCCGAGUUCCCUGGAACGGGACGCCAUAGAGGGUGAGAGCCCCGUCUGGUUGGAUGCCAAAUCUCUGUAAGUCUCCUUCGACGAGUCGAGUAGUUUGGGAAUGCUGCUCUAAAUGGGAGGUAUAUGUCUUCUAAAGCUAAAUACCGGCCAGAGACCGAUAGCGCACAAGUAGAGUGAUCGAAAGAUGAAAAGCACUUUGAAAAGAGAGUUAAAAAGUACGUGAAAUUGUUGAAAGGGAAGCGUUUAUGACCAGACUUGGGCUUGGUUAAUCAUCUGGGGUUCUCCCCAGUGCACUUUUCCAGUUCAGGCCAGCAUCAGUUUUCGCCGGGGGAUAAAGACUUCGGGAAUGUGGCUCCUCUCGGGGAGUGUUAUAGCCCGUUGUGUAAUACCCUGGCGGGGACUG